UAUUAUUGAUUUUUUUCCAUUGGUUUUUUGGUUUUUUUGGGAGGAGGAGAGGUGCGGUGUUGUUUUGAUUUUCAGUAUAAUGUACUGGAAUCCAAAGUUACUUUGUUUUUUGGUUUCUAACCUGCAUGGCAUUUUGAAAUUGCCCUUACAGAAUGUGUGUACACUAAAGUUCUAGUUCACACCAUCUUGUUCCUUCUCGAAAAGGACUAUAUGACUUACUGCUGGGAGAUAGGAACCCAAAUCCUGCAUGAAGAUUUAGAUCUUCAAAAUUGCUUCCCUUUGAGUCCACUGAGUUCAGUAUACCCGGCUCAAGAACUAACUGUCUGGAAGACCUCAAGUAAAUCACUGUGCCUUAGUUCCACAUCUGUAAAAUGGGAAUAUCAUCGUCUACAUCAUACCAUGACUAGAAGAUUAAAUCCACUGUUUAUAUUGUUUAUAUACUACAGUAAUGUGGGUUAUGGAAAUGCCAUGGAAACUAGGAGUCAACGGAAUUCUGUGAUACAAUCAGUAAAUUAUUCCAUCUGUAACUGCAAUUACAAACUACUGUUUUUAAAGGUGAGAAACUUUAAUGGAAUUUAGGUGGCAAUACUGUCAUACCAAGUUCAUUAUUGAGUUAGAGGAUGUGAUCUCUACAAGUCAUUGUAUCCAAUUACUUUGAGGUAAGUCUAUUUGUAGACCUAAAUCAUUUCAUGAUGAAAUAAAUAGCAGUCUUUUAAAUGGGCCAGUCUGUGUACUAAUAUUUCUCAGAACUUCCGGCAGGUAUACUGGGCUUUAUCUUUCAUAUAUGUCAAGGAAUAGCUGUGAUGGGAUUUCUUUCCUCUCCCUGUUCUUUUACAAUGAUUUUAAAAUUUUACUUAUUUUUAAUUAUGAUCUGCUUGUUAAUUUUCUGCUCAUUUCUGAGUUUGUGCAUCUUUUGGAAAUCAAAAUAUUCCAGAGAAAAUUAAGACUGGUAUGUAGUAACUCAAUUAGUACCUGAAUUUAAGCAUUUUCUAACUACUCAUCUGCUGGUGCCUGUCAGCAACUUCAGUUAUUUGAUAGUCAAGGCUAAGCUAUUUAGUUUGAAAGUAAAGUAGGAAAAUAAAGGUGAUAGCCCUUUCUAAUUGCAUUCUCUAAAACACACUUCACCUGCUAGAGAGGCUAACAGGAUGAAAAAUUUGCUUAGAUAUUAUAUUCAGUCUCAGUUGAAAGUUAGUAAAUAAAUUCCUGUCUUUCUGAUUGUCUCCUUUACAGCUGUAGGAUAGUGAGAUGGCCAUUUUUUUGUAUUUUAAAUAAACACUGUCACUCUGAAGCAAACCUGA